rnacentral:lncRNA from 1 species
CCCGCACUGCGCCAUCAAAUGAGUCAAGCGGAAGGACCGGUACCCCUCCGGGAAAACCAGGCACUAACACACGGUGCACCCAACUGAAUUUAAACUCGGGAACAGUGUAGGCAGUGUCAACAAAGCGCGGUGCUGGGUCCCGAGCGUCCAAAGGUCCCUGCCAGCUCCCAGACGCGGCCAAAUCCACAGGAUUCCAAAAGUACAGACGGGGUUUCACCGUAUUAGCCAGGAUGGUCUCAAUCUUCUAACCUCGUGAUCUGCCCACCUCGGCCUCGCAAAGCGCUGGGAUUACAGGCGUGAGCCUCCGCGACCGGCCAGAACUAGCUCUUCUUAAGGAUGUGACAGUGAUCUGCACUAGAGCUUCAGGCAGCUAAGGAUAUCUGAAAAGGAGAGACUCUAUGGAGUGUGGAUGUAGAAAAGGAGUUAUUCCUACCGGAAAAAAAUGAACUGUGGACACAGUCACUCAAGACCAGAGAAACAACCACUAUGAGUAAGUAGCUUCAAUUUCACUGUUACCAGGAGGGCACACACCAGAAAGCCUGGGACAAAGCCUGGGCUAGAGCCCUCAGGAUUCAUUCUCAGGCUUCCUGGUGCUGUGGUUCAACAGCCUUUGUGGGGAUGGGGAGAACCAGAGACUAUCACCAUCACAUGUAAAAAAUAUUACCACAGCAACAGCUGUCAAAAACCAGCUGGAGCUGAAGUUACACACCAUUUGAAAUCCACACUGUACUUGCUUUCUUGUGAUGGGCUUGAGACAUGUGCAGAGACACCUUAAACAUGUGUAGGUGACCACCCUUUUGAAAGGCAGAGGAGGGCCUCUUCAUGAACUCUUUCUACUCAUUUGUUUUCCUAUCAGUUCACCAUUUCAACUAGAAAAGAUGCUGCAAGCUACCUCAGCUAGCUUCUAAUUUGGACACAGCACCAAUACUACACACACUAUUGAAUGAAUGACCACAUCUUCCUGGUUCUUCCAUUGGGCAGGGUCAAUAUGCUUCUUUGGACUGAAUAGGUGUGAUCUUGUUUGAGAAAAGUGUGUAAACGUAGGGCCAGAUUUUGUUCGUCUCCGUUCCGGAAAAUUGGUGGAGCACUCCUCGGCUCUUGUAUAAUUCAAUGACUGGCUUUGCCGCGUCUUUGUACUGUCUUAGCCUGGCAGCAACUGCUUCGGGUUUAUCAUCCUCCUGCUGGACUAAUGGUUCACCAGUGACGUCAUCAAUACCAUGUACAUGAGGUGGAUUGAAGUCCAGGUUAUAUACCCUUCCGCUAGGAGGGUGAAUCCAACGGCGGCUGAGACGAUCUUUAAGUGUUUCAAAUGGAAUAUUCAAACUGAUCACUAGAUCCACUUCACAGAUUUUGUCCAGGGCCUCGGCUUGUCCUAAUGUCCUAGGAAAACCAUCAAGGAGCCAGUGCUGGCCACGCCUAUUCUCCAACUCGGACAUCAUUAGGCGUGUGAUCACAUGGUCUGGAACCAAAAGACUUUUCUCUAUAUACUGCUUUGCCACCUCACCAACUUCGGUGCUGGCCUUGAUGUUCUCCCGCAAGAAGUGGCCGCUGGAGAGAUGCUGGAGACCAAAGUUCUGGGCGAUCCUCUGGCACACGGUGCCCUUGCCCGAGCCGGGCGGCCCGAGGAUGACCGCGCGCAGGAGUUUGGAAGCCAUUGCCUUCGCGAGGAGGGGGGCGGUCAAACGCGCAGCCCCGACCGCGGCCCCGGAGGGAGCCCCGGGAACUUUGUUUCUCGGCCCCCUACCUCUGGCACCCUCCGCUCUCACUGGGACUCGCCGGCCGGCCCUACAGGGGGAAGGCGGUCUUGAUUUCUUAAUCUCAUGCUUCAGUCUCCUCACCUGCAAAAUGAGAAUGGUGAUAAUAGGACCUACAUUAGGGAUGUGAUAUUGUGAAAUAUUUAUUUGGUCUUCCUACCAUCUCCUGGCAUAAAAUCUUUGGAAUCU